rnacentral:rRNA from 1 species
CGAACGGGUGAGUAAUGCGUGACCAACCUGCCCCAUGCUCCAGAAUAGCUCUUGGAAACGGGUGGUAAUGCUGGAUGCUCCAACUUGACGCAUGUCUUGUUGGGAAAGUGUUUAGUGGCAUGGGAUGGGGUCGCGUCCUAUCAGCUUGUAGGCGGGGUAAUGGCCCACCUAGGCUUCGACGGGUAGCCGGCCUGAGAGGGCGGACGGCCACAUUGGGACUGAGAUACGGCCCAGACUCCUACGGGAGGCAGCAUC